AGUUAUGCUGAGGCCUCUCUAGGAAUGCAGGCAACCGGGACAACAGCCCACAUAUACAUUCACUAUCCAACUGCUGCACCCACUUACAACAAUUCUCCUCCAUUGGUGAUAGUGGGAUCUUGUGCUGGUGUCCGUGCUCGUGUUCGUGUCGGUGUCUGUGCUGGUGUUUGUGCCAGUGCCUGUGCUGGUGUUCGUGCCGGUGUGUGUGGCUAGGACUAGGAGUGCUUUGGCUUUCAUGGUUAUCAG
rnacentral:misc_RNA from 1 species